CCGCAGCAUACAUACAGGACAUUGUCUUGUAUUGGAUGAUGGUGACGUAAAUCUCACCAGAGUACAAUUGGAGGGCAAGUCUGGUGCCAGCAGCCGCGGUAAUUCCAGCUCCAAUAGCGUAUAUUAAACUUGUUGCAGUUAAAAAGCUCGUAGUUGAAUUUCUGCGUUGCCCGACUCGGCUACUUGCCUUGUCUGGUUUCGCUUUUGGGGUUUUCCCCUUUUUACUUUGAGAAAUUAGAGUGUUUCAAGCAGACUUGUGUCUUGAAUACUUCAGCAUGGAAUAAUAAAGUAGGACUUUGGUUCUAUUUUGUUGGUUUGUGAACCUUAGUAAUGGUUAAUAGGAACGGUUGGGGGCAUUCGUAUUUAA
rnacentral:rRNA from 1 species